rnacentral:rRNA from 1 species
CCUGAACGCUGGCGGCGUGGCUAAGACAUGCAAGUCGCACGGAUGUAGUAAUACAUCAGUGGCGGACGGGUGAGUAAUUUAUCGCUAAUGUACCCUGGAGCCUGGGAUAGCUGUCCGAAAGGACAGGUAAUACCAGAUGAAAUGAGCCUGUCGCAUGACAGGAAUCUCAAAGCAGCAAUGCACUCUUGGAGCAGGCGAUAUCGUAUCAGCUAGUUGGUGAGGUAACGGCUCACCAAGGCGAUGACGCGUAGCUGGUCUGAGAGGACGACCAGCCACAUCGGAACUGAGACACUGUCCGGACUCCUACGGGGGGCUGCAGUAACGAAUCUUCCACAAUGCACGAAAGUGUGAUGGAGCGACGCCGCGUGUAGGACGAAGUCCU